rnacentral:misc_RNA from 1 species
GGACCCAUUAGAACCAACCCCACAAAUACAUUCCUGUUGAAUCUAACUAAAGCAACUAUACAAAGACCUGCUUGUUCUCGAAGUCGCUUCGAGCAAGUUGAGUCGCAGAGUAAUGAUUCGAGAGAAUCCUUUGGCUUUCAGAAUCAAUUCUUGAAAAUCACUAUCAAAACCCUGCGAUAAACGCUUCUCAAACUCCUUUAAAACCCUCAAUUUCUCUUCUUCAGAACUUGUUUCUCGACUUAUCCUGACAAGAUUUUGAACACAAUCUCGAUCAAUACAAGCCUGAACUUCAGCCUCGAUUGCGAUUGCCACUUGGUAGAUUCUGUAGUUAGUGAUUUGGCGGCGAAGGAGAGAUUUAAGGCUAUUAUCUUGGUACGUUUUAUGCUUUUGGAGUAGGGUUUUGAGGCUGCAUAACAAUUGAGAAAGUUUGGAAAGAUCUGGGAAAGUAGAGAAUACGGUGCCUGCUUCACCAUAUAGGUCCAAGAGAGCUUCCAUGGCAGGUUGGGGAUUGUGGGUGAUAAAGAUGGAGUUGGUUUGAAGAUCUUUAGAAGCAUUUCUCAGAGCUUCUAACAGUGCUAAUAGAGAUUGCUCGUUUUUAACUUCUGCUUG